AGCUUUGUGCAGUGGUGAUAUUAUAGCCAAAGAGGUUUAUCUGAGGCACAAUUAUUGCUAAUUGAAAACUUUUCCCUAUACCCCGCCAGGAUGACUUGAAAUAUAAUCAGCAUUGGCAAUUUUUGACAGUCUCUACAGAGA